AACGUAGGUGGCGAGCGUUAUCCGGAUUCACUGGGCGUAAAGCGCAUGCAGGUGGCACAGUAAGUAGGGCAUGAAAACUCCUGGCUUAACUGGGAGAGGCUGUCCUAGACUGCUGAGCUUGAGGAUGGGAGAGGGAAGUGGAAUUGCCGGUGUAGUGGUGAAAUGCGUAGAGAUCGGCAGGAACACCCGUGGCGAAAGCGGCUUCCUGGCCCAUUCCUGACACUCAGAUGCGAAAGCUAGGGGAGCGAACGGG
rnacentral:rRNA from 1 species